rnacentral:rRNA from 1 species
UAGUGAGUUUGAUCCUGGCUCAGAACGAACGCUGGCGGCAGGCCUAACACAUGCAAGUCGAGCGGACCGCAAGGUCAGCGGCGGACGGGUUAGUAACGCGUGGGAACGUGCCCAAAGGUACGGAAUAGCCUCGGGAAACUGAGAGUAAUACCGUAUGUGCCCCUCGGGGGAAAGAUUUAUCGCCUUUGGAUCGGCCCGCGUUGGAUUAGGUAGUUGGUGGGUAAUGGCCCACCAAGCCGACGAUCCAUAGCUGGUUUGAGAGGAUGAUCAGCCACACUGGGGACUGAGACACGGCCCAGACUCCUACGGGAGCAGCAGUGGGGAAUAUUGGACAAUGGGCGAAAGCCUGAUCCAGCAAUGCCGCGUGAGUGAUGAA